AUUACCGAGUUUACAACUCCCAAACCCCUGUGAACAUACCAAUUGUUGCCUCGGCGGAUCAGCCCGCUCCCGGUAAAACGGGACGGCCCGCCAGAGGACCCCUAAACUCUGUUUCUAUAUGUAACUUCUGAGUAAAACCAUAAAUAAAUCAAAACUUUCAACAACGGAUCUCUUGGUUCUGGCAUCGAUGAAGAACGCAGCAAAAUGCGAUAAGUAAUGUGAAUUGCAGAAUUCAGUGAAUCAUCGAAUCUUUGAACGCACAUUGCGCCCGCCAGUAUUCUGGCGGGCAUGCCUGUUCGAGCGUCAUUUCAACCCUCAAGCCCCCGGGUUUGGUGUUGGGGAUCGGCGAGCCCUUGCGGCAAGCCGGCCCCGAAAUCUAGUGGCGGUCUCGCUGCAGCUUCCAUUGCGUAGUAGUAAAACCCUCGCAACUGGUACGCGGCGCGGCCAAGCCGUUAAACCCCCAACUUCUGAAUGUUGACCUCGGAUCAGGUAGGAAUACCCGCUGAACUUAAGCAUAUCAAUAAGCGGAGGAAAAGAAACCAACAGGGAUUGCCCUAGUAACGGCGAGUGAAGCGGCAACAGCUCAAAUUUGAAAUCUGGCUCUCGGGCCCGAGUUGUAAUUUGUAGAGGAUACUUUUGAUGCGGUGCCUUCCGAGUUCCCUGGAACGGGACGCCAUAGAGGGUGAGAGCCCCGUCUGGUUGGAUGCCAAAUCUCUGUAAAGUUCCUUCGACGAGUCGAGUAGUUUGGGAAUGCUGCUCUAAAUGGG
rnacentral:rRNA from 1 species